rnacentral:lncRNA from 1 species
GUUCCACUCCACGCUUCUCUGCUUCCACUUCAAUUUUUUCUUCAGCCUUGUCUACCACCCCUCCAAUCUUAUCUUCAGCUUUCUCUGCCAAUGCUUCGGGUGUAACCGACUCUACGUCCAGUUUUUCCUUUAAAACUUCCUCUCCAGUUUGAACAGAUGAUUUAGCUUUCUCUGCCAAUGCUUCGGGUGUAACCGACUCUACUUCCAGUUUUUCCUUCAAUGCUUCCUCUCCAGUCUGAAUAGCUGCUUUGAGAUCUGGAAGUUCUACUCCACGCUUCUCUGCUUCCACUUCAAUUUUUUCUUCAGCCUUGUCUACCAUCUCUCCGAUCUUAUCUUUAGCUUUUUCUGCCAAUGCUUCAGGUGUAACCGACUCUACGUCCAGUUUUUCCUUUAAAACUUCCUCUCCAGUUUGAGUAGCUGCUUUGACCUCAGAACCCUUAGGGAGGAGGACUCUUCCGACUUCCUGCGUAAUUUUAUAAAAUGAAUGUGUGAUGAUUAGACGACAAAGCUAUUUGAAAUCCGCAAUCUAACUUAGGGGCCUUUCGAUCCAUUGCCAACUCGCUUAGGGAAGAAUACACACAAGUUUAAUGACCUCCAAACCGAUUUCUCACUUAAUCCUCUGUUAAUCAAGAACUUCAGCUACAUAAUAUCUGCAAAAUUGUACUUCAAGUGCCUGAUGGCGUAGUCUCACUUCAACACAAUAAUCAUAUAGUUAUAAAAUCAUGAAGAGGUAGACAUAAAAAGGAAAAGAAAAGGAACCUUG